AUUGAACGCUGGCGGCAGGCCUAACACAUGCAAGUCGAGCGAGCGGCGGACGGGUGAGUAAUGUAUGGGGACUGCCCGAUAUAGGGGGAUAACAACUGGAAACGGUAGCUAAUACCGCAUAUUAUCUGAUUACCCAUAUGGGAUUAGCUAGUAGGUGAGGUAAUGGCUCACCAAGGCGACGAUCCCUAGCUGGUCUGAGAGGAUGAUCAGCCACACUGGGACUGAGACACGGCCCAGACUCCUACGGAGGCAGCAGUGGGGAAUCUUGCACAAUGGGCGAAAGUCUGAUGCAGCAAUGCCGCGUGUAUGAAGAAGGCCCUAGGGUUGUAAAGUACUUUCAGUCGGGAGGAGUUACCGACAGAAGAAGCCCCGGCUAACUCCGUGCCAGCAGCCGCGGUAAUAC
rnacentral:rRNA from 1 species